GACGGGGGGGGUGCUAUAAUGCAGUCGAGCGAACAGAUGAGAAGCUUGCUUCUCUGAUGUUAGCGGCGGACGGGUGAGUAACACGUGGGUAACCUACCUAUAAGACUGGGAUAACUCCGGGAAACCGGGGCUAAUACCGGAUAAUAUUUUGAACCGCAUGGUUCAAUAGUGAAAGACGGUUUCGGCUGUCACUUAUAGAUGGACCCGCGCCGUAUUAGCUAGUUGGUAAGGUAACGGCUUACCAAGGCGACGAUACGUAGCCGACCUGAGAGGGUGAUCGGCCACACUGGAACUGAGACACGGUCCAGACUCCUACGGGAGGCAGCAGUAGGGAAUCUUCCGCAAUGGGCGAAAGCCUGACGGAGCAACGCCGCGUGAGUGAUGAAGGUCUUCGGAUCGUAAAACUCUGUUGUUAGGGAAGAACAAAUUUGUUAGUAACUGAACAAGUCUUGACGGUACCUAACCAGAAAGCCACGGCUAACUACGUGCCAGCAGCCGCGGUAAUACGUAGGUGGCAAGCGUUAUCCGGAAUUAUUGGGCGUAAAGCGCGCGUAGGCGGUUUCUUAAGUCUGAUGUGAAAGCCCACGGCUCAACCGUGGAGGGUCAUUGGAAACUGGGAAACUUGAGUGCAGAAGAGGAGAGUGGAAUUCCAUGUGUAGCGGUGAAAUGCGCAGAGAUAUGGAGGAACACCAGUGGCGAAGGCGGCUCUCUGGUCUGUAACUGACGCUGAUGUGCGAAAGCGUGGGGAUCAAACAGGAUUAGAUACCCUGGUAGUCCACGCCGUAAACGAUGAGUGCUAAGUGUUAGGGGGUUUCCGCCCCUUAGUGCUGCAGCUAACGCAUUAAGCACUCCGCCUGGGGAGUACGACCGCAAGGUUGAAACUCAAAGGAAUUGACGGGGACCCGCACAAGCGGUGGAGCAUGUGGUUUAAUUCGAAGCAACGCGAAGAACCUUACCAAAUCUUGACAUCCUUUGACCGCUCUAGAGAUAGAGUCUUCCCCUUCGGGGGACAAAGUGACAGGUGGUGCAUGGUUGUCGUCAGCUCGUGUCGUGAGAUGUUGGGUUAAGUCCCGCAACGAGCGCAACCCUUAAGCUUAGUUGCCAUCAUUAAGUUGGGCACUCUAGGUUGACUGCCGGUGACAAACCGGAGGAAGGUGGGGAUGACGUCAAAUCAUCAUGCCCCUUAUGAUUUGGGCUACACACGUGCUACAAUGGAUAAUACAAAGGGCAGCGAAUCCGCGAGGCCAAGCAAAUCCCAUAAAAUUAUUCUCAGUUCGGAUUGUAGUCUGCAACUCGACUACAUGAAGCUGGAAUCGCUAGUAAUCGUAGAUCAGCAUGCUACGGUGAAUACGUUCCCGGGUCUUGUACACACCGCCCGUCACACCACGAGAGUUUGUAACACCCGAAGCCGGUGGAGUAACCUUUUAGGAGCUAGCCGUCGAAGUGACAAAUG
rnacentral:rRNA from 1 species